GCCUUGGUCCUGGCCUUAGUCCUGGCCUUGGUCCUGGCCCUGGUCCUGGCCUUAGUCAUGGCUUUUGUCCUGGCCAUUCCCACACGAAGCGUUUGGUCCUAAAGGUCUCAGGGACUGAUUACGGAAUGUACUGUACUGUAGGAGGAACAAGCAGGUGAGUCCAAGCACCUUAACAGGGAAACACACCCCAAUAGGGUCAGCUGCAGGGUGGUGGUGGCUCCAGAGGAACCUGCUGCUGACCCGGGAGGCUCUGGAGGAGGUGCAUCACAUCGUUGCUCUAGAUGGUUUCUCUCUAACGUAGAGGAGGAACAAGCAGGUGAGUCCAAGCACCUUAACAGGGAAACACACCCCAAUAGGGUCAGCUGCAGGGUGGUGGUGGCUCCAGAGGAACCUGCUGCUGACCCGGGAGGCUCUGGAGGAGGUGCAUCACAUCGUUGCUCUAGAUGGUUUCUCUCUAACGUAGAGUAAAUACUAAAUCACCUGCCUCUAUUUCCUGACCCGAGACGAAGCGUUUGUUCCUAAAGGUCUCAGGGACGGAUUACGGAAUGUACCGUACUGUAGGAGGAACAAGCAGGAGGAACAAGCAGGUGAGUCCAAGCACCUUAACAGGGAAACACACCCCAAUAGGGUCAGCUGCAGGGUGGUGGUGGCUCCAGAGGAACCUGCUGCUGACCCGGGAGGCUCUGGAGGAGGUGCAUCACAUCGUUGCUCUAGAUGGUUUCUCUCUAACGUAGAGGAGGAACAAGCAGGUGAGUCCAAGCACCUUAACAGGGAAACACACCCCAAUAGGGUCAGCUGCAGGGUGGUGGUGGCUCCAGAGGAACCUGCUGCUGACCCGGGAGGCUCUGGAGGAGGUGCAUCACAUCGUUGCUCUAGAUGGUUUCUCUCUAACGUAGAGUAA
rnacentral:lncRNA from 1 species